UCAACAUAGUAGAUAGAAUUAUAAUGAUUCCCUUGGGGCUAACAGUAUGAAUUAAUUUUAAAAUGGAAAUUUGAAACAUUUAGAACUGGAAAGAUGGUUAUUAGUGAACUAGUCCAAACUCUGCAUUUUGAAAAAAAAAAUAUUUUAAAGGCUCCACAAAACAGGCCAGAUGGAGCAAUCAGAACAGAGAAAGAACACUGAACCUGAAGUCAGACAACCUGAGUUUCCUUCCAGCUUCUGCAUCUUAUGAUUCUAUUUGGCAGAAGUUCCCAGCUGACUAUCACUGCAGAGGUUUCCAAACACUAGAAAAUACUAUUAUUUCAACACACAAAGCAGUGGUCUAAUGCCCUCUGGGCAUCUUGGUUGUCCACCUCAGGAUAGUAAAGAAAAUACUGGUAUUUAUAAUAAAAUGUGACUAUUCCUGUUC